UCAUUUUCAUUUAAAAACUUGCUAAAACAAUGGUUUAAUAUUUUAAAGCUCGACUCCAGUGAAAAUCAUUUUCAAAGCAAAACAUAAAAUUUCAAAAGAAUUAAGCUUCGACUACUCCCCCUAUAAACUGCUAAAACAAGUUAGCACACAAUUUAUAACAUCAAGUGCCCAUAACUUCACAAAUAAUAUCCAAAUAUCUAGAUCACUCAUAUGUAAUCUCAUAAGUUCCUCAUAGCACCUAAAAAUGUAUCUAAAAGCAAA
rnacentral:lncRNA from 1 species